rnacentral:rRNA from 1 species
GUAGGGAAUAUUGGGCAAUGGAUGCAAGUCUGACCCAGCCAUCCCGCGUGCCGGAAGAAGGCCCUCAGGGUUGUAAACGGCUUUUGACGGUGAAGAAUCGACAGGAUGCGUCCUGUUUUGACGGUAGCCGUUGAAUAAGCACCGGCUAACUCCGUGCCAGCAGCCGCGGUAAUACGGAGGGUGCGAGCGUUGUCCGGAUUUAUUGGGUUUAAAGGGUGCGUAGGCUGGAAGGUCAGUCAGCGGUGAAAAGCUGUCGCUUAACGAUAGUCUUGCCGCAGAUACUUCCGUGCUUGGAUGAGGAGGAGGCCACUGGAACGGAUGGUGUAGCGGUGAAAUGCAUAGAUAUCAUCCAGAACACCGAUUGCGAAGGCAGGUGGCUGUACCUUAAUCGACGCUGAUGCACGAAAGCAUGGGGAGCAAACAGGAUUAGAAACCCGUGUAGUCC